UGUUUCGGCUAGGGGGCCAUCCCGGCUUACCAACCCGAUGCAAACUGCGAAUACCGGAGAAUGUUAUCACGGGAGACACACGGCGGGUGCUAACGUCCGUCGUGAAGAGGGAAACAACCCAGACCGCCAGCUAAGGUCCCAAAGUCAUGGUUAAGUGGGAAACGAUGUGGGAAGGCCCAGACAGCCAGGAUGUUGGCUUAGAAGCAGCCAUCAUUUAAAGAAAGCGUAAUAGCUCACUGGUCGAGUCGGCCUGCGCGGAAGAUGUAACGGGGCUAAACCAUGCACCGAAGCUGCGGCAGCGAACGUAUCACUUAAAGCGAUUCAGCGGGUUACGAUUGACGGAGCGAAGCGACGUCAAAGCGUAUACAAAGUCGAGUCGGUUUAAGGAUACGUUCGUUGGGUAGGGGAGCGUUCUGUAAGCCUGUGAAGGUGGCCUGUGAGGGUUGCUGGAGGU
rnacentral:rRNA from 1 species